AAUAUUCUUAAGGAUUUGACGUUUGAGUUUUUCUAGUAGCUUCGAAGCUAUAUUAUAAAUAUAAGCAUAGGAAGGAAAUGGCUAAGAAGGUAGUAAUGUAAAUCAGUUAGAGUGUAUAUUCAUAGUUUGUUUUCAGUCGUGAAGUACAAGAAGUUAGUAUUUCCAUAAUCCAUCUAGUGUACAAGGGCAGUAGUUUUCCAGUACCUGUUUCAACAGUCUUAUUGCACAGAAAUCCAUAGGUGCUGCAUCUGUUGACUUGACUGGUAUGAUUUCAUUUGGAAUAGCAUACAUACCCAUUUCGUUCUCCAGCUGCUUGAGGCAUACAAUGGUUGAAAUGAUAUUUCUUGGAAGCAACUUGUGUACACUUGGCUUCUGGCACUUUGUCAGACAAAGAUACUUGUUUAUUAUGUUGUGUACUGUACAGUCCCUGAGACAUAUGAAUAGCUUUCGCCACUGGCUUUUGAGACGUAUUACCAUUUACAGAAAGAAGUUAAAAUUCACUUACCAAACUGAGGCCUUGAGAUUGAUAGAGAGCUAACUAGUAUUAUACAUAAACAUUUUUAAUACUAUAUUCACAGAACGUGUGUGUGCCACCUAUGCCACUGAUGGUCAAUCCCAUUGAGCUAUAAAGGAGGUCAUAAUCUUGAGAUAUCACCUAAUCUACCAUUGGAAAGCAGUUAACAUCCUUGCACAAUGUGGAGCAUUACAGCCACAAUCUCCAUGGGAAGAAGAAGUGUUAUCUUCAGAGAAUGACAAAAGAAGGAAGACCAUAGAUGAGGUGGCAAGUGAAAUUUUAAAACGGUGCAUCCAUGUUGCCUGGCUACACUUAGAGGAAGUUUAGGUGUUCUCAGUUUCUGACGGUGAAUUUAGAUUUGUUUUCUUGAAUUUUCUAUACAUAAAUAUAUGUCUAAACAAACUAGAACUUAAUUGUUUUUAGUCAGUGGUGUAAUUGUGUUAUAUUGACUUAAUUAUUAUAUUACACUACAAAAAAACUUCAACUGUAGAUAUAUAUAUAUAUUUAUAUACUUGUUAUAAUAGUAAAAAUACCAAAGAAGGGUUGCAAAGUAAAUAAUUCUGAAUUUACUCGGUGUAUUUACAUGGAAUGUGGUAAUCUUUUAGUAAAAUAUACAAGUCUGUUGUACACAGAAAAUACAGAUGUGUUACCAAUGUAUGUGUGAAUUGACGAUAUCAGUCUGACAAUUCGGACUGCAAGACGAUGUUCAUAUGUGAAGAAUAAAAAAAUUGUCUAUC